rnacentral:rRNA from 1 species
ACGGAGGGUGCAAGCGUUGUUCGGAAUCACUGGGCGUAAAGGGCGCGCAGGCGGUUUGGUAAGUCAGAUGUGUACGCCCCAGGCUGAACCGUGGAAGUGCAUUUGAAACUGUCAGACUUGAGUACCAGAGGGGAAAGUGGAAUUCCCGGUGUAGAGGUGAAAUUCGUAGAUAUCGGGAGGAAGACCGGUGGCGAAGGCGACUUUCUGGCUGAGUACUGACGCUGAGGCGCGAAAGCGUGGGGAGCAAACAG